rnacentral:rRNA from 1 species
UCAACGUUAAUCGGGGCAGGGUGAGUCGACCCCUAAGGCGAGGCCGAAAGGCGUAGUCGAUGGGAAACAGGUUAAUAUUCCUGUACUUGGUGUUACUGCGAAGGGGGGACGGAGAAGGCUAUGUUGGCCGGGCGACGGUUGUCCCGGUUUAAGCGUGUAGGCUGGUUUUCCAGGCAAAUCCGGAAAAUCAAGGCUGAGGCGUGAUGACGAGGCACUACGGUGCUGAAGCAACAAAUGCCCUGCUUCCAGGAAAAGCCUCUAAGCAUCAGGUAACAUCAAAUCGUACCCCAAACCGACACAGGUGGUCAGGUAGAGAAUACCAAGGCGCUUGAGAGAACUCGGGUGAAGGAACUAGGCAAAAUGGUGCCGUAACUUCGGGAGAAGGCACGCUGAUAUGUAGGUGAGGUCCCUCGCGGAUGGAGCUGAAAUCAGUCGAAGAUACCAGCUGGCUGCAACUGUUUAUUAAAAACACAGCACUGUGCAAACACGAAAGUGGACGUAUACGGUGUGACGCCUGCCCGGUGCCGGAAGGUUAAUUGAUGGGGUUAGCGCAAGCGAAGCUCUUGAUCGAAGCCCCGGUAAACGGCGGCCGUAACAAUAACGGUCCUAAGGUAGCGAAAUUCCUUGUCGGGUAAGUUCCGACCUGCACGAAUGGCGUAAUGAUGGCCAGGCUGUCUCCACCCGAGACUCAGUGAAAUUGAACUCGCUGUGUAGAUGCAGUGUACCCGCGGCAAGACGGAAAGACCCCGUGAACCUUUACUAUAGCUUGACACUGAACAUUGAGCCUUGAUGUGUAGGAUAGGUGGGAGGCUUUGAAGUGUGGACGCCAGUCUGCAUGGAGCCGACCUUGAAAUACCACCCUUUAAUGUUUGAUGUUCUAACGUUGACCCGUAAUCCGGGUUGCGGACAGUGUCUGGUGGGUAGUUUGACUGGGGCGGUCUCCUCCUAAAGAGUAACGGAGGAGCACGAAGGUUGGCUAAUCCUGGUCGGACAUCAGGAGGUUAGUGCAAUGGCAUAAGCCAGCUUGACUGCGAGCGUGACGGCGCGAGCAGGUGCGAAAGCAGGUCAUAGUGAUCCGGUGGUUCUGAAUGGAAGGGCCAUCGCUCAACGGAUAAAAGGUACUCCGGGGAUAACAGGCUGAUACCGCCCAAGAGUUCAUAUCGACGGCGGUGUUUGGCACCUCGAUGUCGGCUCAUCACAUCCUGGGGCUGAAGUAGGUCCCAAGGGUAUGGCUGUUCGCCAUUUAAAGUGGUACGCGAGCUGGGUUUAGAACGUCGUGAGACAGUUCGGUCCCUAUCUGCCGUGGGCGCUGGAGAACUGAGGGGGGCUGCUCCUAGUACGAGAGGACCGGAGUGGACGCAUCACUGGUGUUCGGGUUGUCAUGCCAAUGGCACUGCCCGGUAGCUAAAUGCGGAAGAGAUAAGUGCUGAAAGCAUCUAAGCACGAAACUUGCCCCGAGAUGAGUUCUCCCUGACCCUUUAAGGGUCCUGAAGGAACGUUGAAGACGACGACGUUGAUAGGCCGGGUGUGUAAGCGCAGCGAUGCGUUGAGCUAACCGGUACUAAUGAACCGUGAGGCUUAACCUU